GACGAACGCUGGUGGCGUGCUUAACACAUGCAAGUCGAACGGAAAGGCCCUGCUUUUGUGGGGUGCUCGAGUGGCGAACGGGUGAGUAACACGUGAGUAACCUGCCCUUGACUUUGGGAUAACUUCAGGAAACUGGGGCUAAUACCGGAUAGGAGCUCCUGCUGCAUGGUGGGGGUUGGAAAGUUUCGGCGGUUGGGGAUGGACUCGCGGCUUAUCAGCUUGUUGGUGGGGUAGUGGCUUACCAAGGCUUUGACGGGUAGCCGGCCUGGGAGGGUGACCGGCCACAUUGGGACUGAGAUACGGCCCAGACUCCUACGGGAGGCAGCAGUGGGGAAUAUUGCACAAUGGGCAGGAGCCUGAUGCAGCGACGCCGCGUGCGGGAUGACGGCCUUCGGGUUGUAAACCGCUUUCGCCUGUGACGAAGCGUGAGUGACGGUAAUGGGUAAAGAAGCACCGGCUAACUACGUG
rnacentral:rRNA from 1 species